rnacentral:rRNA from 1 species
AUACGAAGGGGGCAAGCGUUGUUCGGAAUAACUGGGCGUAAAGCGCGCGUAGGCGGAAUGUUAAGUUAGAGGUGAAAUCCCAGGGCUCAACCCUGGAGCUGCCUUUAAUACUGGCAAUCUAGAGACCGAGAGAGGUGAGUGGAAUUCCGAGUGUAGAGGUGAAAUUCGUAGAUAUUCGGAGGAACACCAGUGGCGAAGGCGGCUCACUGGCCCGAUACUGACGCUGAGGCGCGAAAGCGUGGGGAGCAAACAGGAUUAGAAACCCUAGUAGUCC